UUAUAGCCACGCCACUGGACUUGAUGGAAGUAAGAGAGGAAAUGUCACACAGGUGUCCCAGGAGGCAAUUCCAAGCAUAAGGGGCAAGAAGGAAGAAAGGAUGGAGAUGUCGGUGAAAUUCAAAACAUCUACAGAUGGUUGAUGGUGGUGCAGCUGGAGCACUGCUUUUCCUGGGAGGCCAAGCAACAUUCAUUCAGAAAGGAACCCACAUGGUUUAUCAAUACAGCCAUUACCAGAGGAACAUGGGAAAGGAGCAGGAGGAAGCAUCUCUGAAGCUGCUGUGGCAAGAAAGAAAGAAACGACCCGAAAGCAAAGCUGGUUUUCAGCAGCCUCUCUGCUCCCAAAAGCAACUGGCAUCAAAGUCUAAUGAAAACCUGUUUGCGGACACUGGAUCCAUUCCAAGUCUGCCUCUGAAGAAAACAUUUGUGGACAAUUUAACUGAGUUGGAACCCAGAUGGUAAAAAACACCAGAGACACAAGCCAUUAGGAAGAUUUGUUAAAAAUGUUGACAGAUAUCAGUCUCUGGUGUUCUUAGGGAAUGACUGACCAAGAUGAAAAAGCCUUCAAACUUUAGAAUGCUUCCAGAGCUGGGAAGGUCCACUUGCUGGCAUGAUAGUGUCAGUGACAAGAGUUCUGCAUGGGCCCCAUCAUCUCCCUGAAGAGUAGGGUUUUCCAGCCAAUGCUCUUUCUUUUGCUGCCCUAUUGAAGGUCAGAGUGGAUGGUCAAUAGAUAGAGGAAGUAUGUUGGGCGCCAAAUGACAUUGUUCUAAUAAACAGCUUGCGUGUUAGAGGCAGACAGUGCAGAUGCUAAUGGGUUCCUCCACUGGGAUAAAAUGUCUUGUCUCCAUUAAACCCAUAGAGUGUGACAAUUAACACCAGCUGAAGAGGUGUCCAGCUGCAUUUUCAUAUGUUUGGGACCACCUAUUCUCUAACACAGCUUGUAAAAAUGAUUCAAAUCUGCCAGCAGGCUGAAUUUGUAAAAACACUGUUAUGUUCUUUUACAAAUACAACAGUGAAAUAUUAGCAAUAGCCGGAGUAUAACAUCCCAAAUGAAUGCAGUACUGAAGAUAACCAAAACCAAAGACGAUAUCCUGGUUUGUUGAUGUCAGUGCAAUCAAUCAUAAAUUGCCAUAAAUCCUCCAUUGUCGUAAAUAAAUGCUUGUUGUAGUAUAGUGGUAUUGUGGUAUUAGCCCAGGACAAGGAAGGCCGGAAUGAGAGUUGUAAAGCACAUCUGACAGAAAGGAUUGCUGUCUUCUCACAAGGUGAGUUUGUGGAAGAGUGUACCCAGUAAUCAGGGGCGUAACAAGGCUGGAGUGGGCCCAGAGACAAAAUUUUAAAAUGGGCCCCUCGCUGUUGCACACACACACACUUCACAAUAUAUAGUCAUGUGACUUGCCUCUGGGGGGCCCCUUGAGGCAUGGGGGCCCCCAGGCAGCCGCCUCCCCUUACCUAAUGGUAGUUACGCCCCUGCCAGUAAUCUCAAUAAUCCAAAAUUCAGAAGAAGAAAAAAUAUCGUGAGAGAAGUAUUAUGGUUCAAAGGAGAAAGAUUGGGGGCUUCUGAUGAUCGCAAGAUGUUCAUAGUAUAAUAAUAAUUUAAAUAUUAAUGUUCUCCACAGAUAUAAGUGCAGUUUUAUAUUGAUUUUUGCACUGUUGAUGCAAGUAUUUGCAUUUAAUUAUUUAUUCUUCUGCAUUCCUGCCUAGUCUCAACUAUCAAUUGUUUCAUGUUUCCCAUAUUAUGGCUGAAUGAUCUGUAGCCUUAUCUUUAAUGGCAAUGUGGUUCCCACCCCACCCCCAACAGUGAUGGAUGGUAUAGACAUUUGCUGUGCACAUGCUGAUAGAGUUCCAGGAACUGUACGUUGCCAUAUUUUUAUUAAUGGUUGUUGGCACAAAGAACCUUUCACUGAAGUCAGUGACAAAACUUCCAUUCAUCUUAAUGGAGCUUGAUUGCACUUCCAUCCAUGUGCUCUCAAGACAGCUGCACACAUCUUGCUGCACCCUCUCAAACAUCAUGUCUAGGUGGGACAUGGAAUCACGCAUGUGGUUGCUUCCAGAUGCGGAUUCACAGCUUCUCUCUAGCCGGAAACACCUUGGUUACAAUGACAAGAUACAGUUUAAUCAUUAUCCAAGUAUGAGCAUGAAGUGGUUGCCACAUCCGACCUACCCAGCACAAGGACGACUGUGCUCUGAAGAGCACAUUUCCUGAGUCUGUAGUUGUCUCCUGCUGGUAAACCCUGAAAACAGGACUCCUGAUACAUUUGUUUUCCCCUCCAACAUCAGUCUUUUGUGAGCACAAACAUUCUUGGGGGUGAAGAUUACUUUCUAUACAUCAACAAAACAACUCAAAAAAAGAAAAAGAAAGAAAAAGAAGAAGAAGUAAGUUUCAAAAUCCCUUUCUUCCAAUAUUUAUUUUCAAUCUCAAGCAGUGCAGCUCCACAGGCUGGUAAAAGAAGGAACAGUUUAGAUGUCACAAUCUAGUCUUUCCUGUCUUCAAAGUCUACUAACAAACAAAACAAUGGAUAGUGCCAUCUAUGCAAUUUUCCAGCAUUUGAUUAGAUGUUCAGUUUUACUUGCAGACGUAUAUGUAUUUAAGUGAGAUGCUUCAUUAAGCUAAUGAGAAAUAAAGUGACAUUUUCAAAAUCCUCCAAGUGUGUUGAGGAC